GACGAACGCUGGCGGCGUGCUUAACACAUGCAAGUCGAACGGAAAGGCCCUGCUUUUGUGGGGUGCUCGAGUGGCGAACGGGUGAGUAACACGUGAGUAACCUGCCCUUGACUUUGGGAUAACUUCAGGAAACUGGGGCUAAUACCGGAUAGGAGCUCCUGCUGCAUGGUGGGGGUUGGAAAGUUUCGGCGGUUGGGGAUGGACUCGCGGCUUAUCAGCUUGUUGGUGGGGUAGUGGCUUACCAAGGCUUUGACGGGUAGCCGGCCUGAGAGGGUGACCGGCCACAUUGGGACUGAGGUACGGCACAGACUCCUACGGGAGGCAGCAGUGGGAAAUAUUGCACAAUGGGCGGAAGCCUGAUGCAGCAACGCCGCGUGCGGGAUGACGGCCUUCGGGUUGUAAACCGCUUUCGCCUGUGACGAAGCGUGAGUGACGGUAAUGGGUAAAGAAGCACCGGCUAACUACGUG
rnacentral:rRNA from 1 species